rnacentral:rRNA from 1 species
AUGUGGUUGCGAUCUUCGUGUCCCACUACAGGUUAUUCGAGUGCGUCCUCGACUCCGAGCUAG